rnacentral:tRNA from 3 species
CGGGCCAUUGUAUAAUGGUAGUACGCAAGGCUGGGGGUCUUGCAGCCUGGGUUCGAUUCCCAGUGGCCCGACCA